rnacentral:rRNA from 1 species
AGCAGGCGCGCAAAUUACCCAAUCCCGACACGGGGAGGUAGUGACAAUAAAUACUGAUACAGGGCCCUUUUGGGUCUUGUAAUUGGAAUGAGUACAAUUUAAAUCCCUUAACGAGGAACAAUUGGAGGGCAAGUCUGGUGCCAGCAGCCGCGGUAAUUCCAGCUCCAAUAGCGUAUAUUAAAGUUGUUGCAGUUAAAAAGCUCGUAGUUGAACCUUGGGCCUGGCUGGCCGGUCCGCCUCACCGCGUGCACUAGUUCGGCCGGGCCUUUCCUUCUGGGGAGCCGCAUGCCCUUUACUGGGUGUGUUGAGGACCCAGAACUUUUACUUUGAAAAAAUUAGAGUGUUCAAAGCAGGCCUUUGCUCGAAUACAUUAGCAUGGAAUAAUAGAGUAGGACGUGCGGUUCUAUUUUGUUGGUUUCUAGGACCGCCGCAUGAUUAAUAGGGAUAGUCGGGGGCAUCAGUAUUCAAUUGUCAGAGGUGAAAUUCUUGGAUUUAUUGAAGACUAACUACUGCGAAAGCAUUUGCCAAGGAUGUUUUCAUUAAU